CCUACGGGCGGCAGCAGUGAGGAAUAUUGGUCAAUGGACGCAAGCCUGAACCAGCCAAGUAGCGUGCAGGAUGACGGCCCUCCGGGUUGUAAACUGCUUUUAGUUGGGAAUAAAGGGCGGCUCGUGAGCCACUUAUUGUAUGUACCAUCAGACAAAGGACCGGCGAAUUCCGGGCGACACGCCGCGGUAAUAGGGGAGGUCCGGGCGUUAUCCGGAUGUAUUGGGGUUAAAGGGAGCGGAGGCGGGCUUUUAAGUCAGCUGUGAAAGUCGGCGGCUCAACCGUGGAAUUGCAGUUGAAACUGGGGGCCUUGAGUGCACACAGGGAAGGCGGAAUUCAUGGUGUAGCGGUGAAAUGCUUAGAUAUCAUGAAGAACCCCGAUCGCGAAGGCAAGUGUCCGGGGUGCAACUGACGCUGAGGCUCGAAAGUGCGGGUAUCAAACAGGAUUAGAUACCCGGGUAGUC
rnacentral:rRNA from 1 species